GACGAACGCUGGCGGCGUGCUUAACACAUGCAAGUCGAACGGAAAGGCCCUGCUUUUGUGGGGUGCUCGAGUGGCGAACGGGUGAGUAACACGUGAGUAACCUGCCCUUGACUUUGGGAUAACUUCAGGAAACUGGGGCUAAUACCGGAUAGGAGCUCCUGCUGCAUGGUGGGGGUUGGAAAGUUUCGGCGGUUGGGGAUGGACUCGCGGCUUAUCAGCUUGUUGGUGGGGUAGUGGCUUACCAAGGCUUUGACGGGUAGCCGGCCUGAGAGGGUGACCGGCGACAUUGGGACUGAGGUACGGCCCAGACUCCUACGGGAGGCAGCAGUGGGGAACAUGGCACAAUGGGCGGACGCCUGAUGCAGCAACGCCGCGGGCGGGAUGACGGCCUUCGGGGUGUAAACCGCUUUCGCCUGUGACGAAGCGUGAGUGACGGUAAUGGGUAAAGAAGCACCGGCUAACUACGUG
rnacentral:rRNA from 1 species